rnacentral:rRNA from 1 species
UGGGGAAUUUUGGACAAUGGGCGAAAGCCUGAUCCAGCAAUGCCGCGUGUGUGAAGAAGGCCUUCGGGUUGUAAAGCACUUUUGUCCGGAAAGAAAUCCUUGGCUCUAAUACAGUCGGGGGAUGACGGUACCGGAAGAAUAAGCACCGGCUAACUACGUGCCAGCAGCCGCGGUAAUACGUAGGGUGCAAGCGUUAAUCGGAAUUACUGGGCGUAAAGCGUGCGCAGGCGGUUUGCUAAGACCGAUGUGAAAUCCCCGGGCUCAACCUGGGAACUGCAUUGGUGGCUGGCAGGCUAGAGUAUGGCAGAGGGGGGUAGAAUUCCACGUNUAGCAGUGAAAUGCGUAGAGAUGUGGAGGAAUACCGAUGGCGAAGGCAGCCCCCUGGGCCAAUACUGACGCUCAUGCACGAAAGCGUGGGGAGCAAACAGGAUUAGAUACCCUGGUAGUCCACGCCCUAAACGAUGUCAACUAGUUGUUGGGGAUUCAUUUCCUUAGUAACGUAGCUAACGCGUGAAGUUGACCGCCUGGGGAGUACGGUCGCAAGAUUAAAACUCAAAUGAAUUGACGGGGUCAU